rnacentral:rRNA from 1 species
AACGAACGCUGGCGGUAGGCUUAACACAUGCAAGUCGAACGCCCCGCAAGGGGAGUGGCAGACGGGUGAGUAACACGUGGGAACAUGCCCAAAGGUACGGAAUAUUCUCGGGAAACUGGGAGCAAUACCGUAUGUGCCCGAAAGGGGAAAGAUUUAUCGCCUUUGGAUUGGCCCGCGUUGGAUUAGCUAGUUGGUGGGGUAAAAGCCUACCAAGGCGACGAUCCAUAGCUGGUCUGAGAGGACGACCAGCCACACUGGGACUGAGACACGGCCCAGACUCCUACGGGAGGCAGCAGUGGGGAAUAUUGGACAAUGGGCGCAAGCCUGAUCCAGCCAUGCCGCGUGAGUGAUGAAGGCCUUAGGGUUGUAAAGCUCUUUCGUCCGGGACGAUAAUGACGGUACCGGAAGAAGAAGCCCCGGCUAACUUCGUGCCAGCCGCCGCCGUAAUAC